AGGACGAACGCUGGCGGCGUGCUUAACACAUGCAAGUCGAGCGAGGCUCUUCCUUCGGGAAGAUGUCCUAGCGGCGAACGGGUGAGUAACACGUGGGCAACCUGCCCCUAGCACUGGGAUAACCCCGGGAAACCGGGGCUAAUACCGGAUAUCACUUCGGAAGGCAUCUUCUGGAGUUGAAAGGGUUACUGGCUAGGGAUGGGCCCGCGGCCUAUCAGCUUGUUGGUGGGGUAAUGGCCUACCAAGGCGACGACGGGUA
rnacentral:rRNA from 1 species